UGUGACGAGGGUAUGAACAGAGGGUUAUUGUGACAGGGGUAUGAACAGAGGGUUAUUGUGACAGGGGUAUGAACGGAGGGUUAUUGUGACAGGGGUAUGAACAGAGGGUUAUUGUGACAGGGGUAUGAACAGAGGGUUAUUGUGACGGGUAUGAACAGAGGGUUAUUGUGACAGGGGUAUGAACAGGAGGUUUAUUGUGGACAGGGGUAUGCACAGAAGGUUA